rnacentral:rRNA from 1 species
GCAAGUCGAACGAGACGGGAUGGAAUGACCCUUCGGGGGAAUGAAAUCCUAGAAAGUGGCGAACGGGUGAGUAACGCGUGGGUAACCUGCCCUAUGGAAAGGAAUAGCCUCGGGAAACUGGGAGUAAUGCCUUAUAAUAUACGAGAGUCGCAUGGCUUUUGUAUUAAACGCUCCGGUGCCAUAGGAUGGACCCGCGUCCCAUUAGCUAGUUGGUGAGAUAACAGCCCACCAAGGCAACGAUGGGUAACCGGUCUGAGAGGGCGAACGGUCACACUGGAACUGAGACACGGUCCAGACUCCUACGGGAGGCAGCAGUGGGGAAUAUUGCGCAAUGGGGGCAACCCUGACGCAGCAAUACCGCGUGAGUGAAGAAGGUUUUCGGAUCGUAAAGCUCUGUUAUUGGGGAAGAAAAAAGACGGUACCCAAGAAGAAAGUCCCGGCUAACUACGUGCCAGCAGCCGCGGUAAUACGUAGGGGACAAGCGUUGUCCGGAUUUACUGGGCGUAAAGGGCACGCAGGCGGUUUUUUAAGUCAGAUGUGAAAGGUACCGGCUCAACCGGUGACAUGCAUUUGAAACUGAAAGA